GAGAAUAGUUUAAUGGAAAAACGCCAGCUUUGGGAGUUGGUGAUAGAGGUUUUAGUCCUCUUUUUCUGA
rnacentral:tRNA from 1 species